rnacentral:rRNA from 1 species
UACGGAGGGUGCAAGCGUUGUCCGGAAUCACUGGGCGUAAAGGGCGCGUAGGCGGCUCAUGAAGGCUGUGGUGAAAGUCCGGGGCUCAACCUCGGAUCGGCCGUGGCGACUCGUGGGCUGGAGCACUGUAGAGGCGGGUGGAAUUCCGGGUGUAGCGGUGGAAUGCGUAGAGAUCCGGAAGAACACCAGUGGCGAGGGCGGCCCGCUGGGCAGUGGCUGACGCUGAAGCGCGACAGCGUGGGGGGCAAACAGG